AUGAAGGUAAAAAUAAAUAAAUACAAUUAAAUCAGGCAAAAACAACCAAACACAAGGCCUGCAUGCCGUUUGUGGCAUGUGUGGUCUAUACACGAACACAAACGAACCCAAAAUGCAACCCAAAAUUCCACAUAUACAGCAAAUCAUAUGACAUGCAAAUGUGAGUUUAGUUACAGAAAUAAGGAAAUCAAAAUUCAGAAGGCUAAUGUUUUGAGCAAUCAAAUUUUGCAAAGGGGUAAGACAGAGAUGAAAAACAUCUAUGUCUGUACCCAAAUAGGUAUUUUAAACACCAGAGUAGUCAAUCUUUACUGUACAGUAAAACAUCAAAAUGUAACAGCUGUGUGGUUCAUUCAUCAUUGACACUAAAGCAAAGCAAUAACUUAACAUGAUUAGUCCAGCCAAAAAAGAAAAUGAAAAUUCUGUCAUUAUUUAUUUAGCCUCAUGUCAAUCCAAACCUUAUUUUCCUCAUUCAAUUUUUACUUAUAUGGUUUGGAUCAGAACAACGAUUUUGGGUAAACUGUGUUCUUAAGAUGCAUUGUUUACACAUGUGUUCAUUCACUGUCAGAAGCUCACUAUAAAAGCAAAAUAACACAUUCUCACUUUAUCAUCCUGGCAUAUUGUGGCCUCAGAGAGAACAACAGCUGUCAGAUUGAACAUGAUUGAAAACUAUGCAAUGCUUUCUGCUCUACUACCUAUUCAAUAUAUACAUACAUUAUAUACUGCACACGACUGAAAUGGUACAGAAUCAACAAACAAACAAUACAUAAACUAAAAAACUGUCAUGAAAUAUCUCCAUCUUCUGUAUGCUAAACACUCAUUAUAUCUCAUUACAGUUUUAUGAGUUGUAUAGUGCUGUUUCGUAAGUUUAAGUGUGAGGAACAUACAGUAAAAACACUGUAUUCUGACCACAUUCAGUUUUCAAUUAAACACGGUUUCACCUGACUGAAGGUACGAUUCUUUCAAACUUUUGUCACCUUGACUCUUUUUGGAUAAACACUAUGACAAUUCCUUUACUGUCAUAUUCAUCUUCCAGCUCAUCACUGGACUGACUAGUUCCAACAGAGAGAGGAGGAGAUUAAUCAACAGCGUGAGACAGUGUAUGUGUGUGUGUGUGUGUGUGUGUGUGUGUAUGUGUGUGUGUGUGUGUGUGUGUGUGUGUGUGUGUGUGUGAGAGAGAGAGAGAGAGUGAGAGAGAGAGAGAGAGAGAGAAAGAGAGAGACAGUAGAGUAGAGUAUAAGCAUGAAAGGAAAAAUGAGAGCGUAAAAGUGUGGGCGAUGAGAGUUGCAUAAAUACUGCAUCAGUCUAGAUUCUGGAGGCUACAGGGAUACACUUCAAUAAAACAUUAGGUUUUUUUAGACUUUCCCUGCCUAACACUGAAACACCCAACAUCUUGUAUUCUUUCCCAGCGUACAAAAGAAAUCAUGUGCAAUUAUGUUGCCAUAUGAACCGCUGUUAUUAUUCAGAGCAGAGUUGGGAAGAAUUGAAGAAUGAGCUCCAAUGAGUUUGGAUUUGUUUUGGAAUUGAAUUGGCCACACCCCACAUUAAUUGUAAUGAGAUGAAGAAGAAUUUAGUCAGUUUUACAUUAUUAAUGUAAAAAGUACAGUAAUAAUUCAGAUUACUCACAAAAUGAUUACUUAAACAUUUUUUUCUUUGUCAAGUUUAAUGCUAUCACAAAAGUUGACUUGUGAGGUGCCAUGUGUCAAUUUUAGAAGUUUCUAUUGAAAUACAUGCAAUAUAAUAUAUUGCGUCUAAAACUGCCUACUUCAAUACUAUAUAGUUGGCAAAAAGCAGUCGGCAGGAAACAUGUCAGAAUUCAUAGUAUUCCAAAAAAUGCACAAUAAAUCGCACGGGAUUGUCACGCGCAUCCCAUCAUUAAAGUUACUUGAUUGAUAGUAAAUCGGCAUCAGCUGCUUUCAGAUGGAGCGACAUUUACUACACAGAGCCGUAGUUCAGGACGUACUACAUCCCCCAUGUAUAUGCAUCACGUGACAUACAUUAUCAUCACGUCAUGUCAUACCAGCGCAAAUACAGCCGCAGAGGGCGCUCUCGUGCAGAAACUCUAUAUGCGCUACACUGUCAGAAAUAGGGGUACAGUAGGGGUCCAUUUCUGUCCCCCAAGGUACAAUCUACAUAAAAGUACCCCAAAGGGCCCAUUAUUGGACCUCAAAGUACAUGUAUGUACCUUUUUGAGGGUCAAAAAGGUACAUAUUUGUUCCCAAGCAUUAAAAGGUACAUUUUUGUACCAUUUCUUUUAAAGGAUAAGGUACAAUGCUAAAAGAUACAGCCUCUUGCCAUUUUUUUAUUUGUUGUUCUAGACAACUGCUGUAAAUCUGGUCAAUAAAGUAAGUAACCAUUGUGUCAAUUUUGUUUCCUUCAGUUGGGCACAUGGGUCUUGAAGUAGUGUUAGUUUUCUUCUGUUCAUUGACAAUGUGUUUAAUUUAAAAUUUUAUUUGAAAUUUUAAUGAAAAAAAGUUAAUUUCAAUUCAUAAAAACUGUGCUGUGAACUCAAAAACUGCAAUUGAUUAACCAUUACUUACAAACUAAAUAAAUACUGAAUAACUAAAUCCCUCACACACAAUGAAAAAAAAACGCGCUUUUAUUUUGACACGCGCCCAUCCCCCCACAUCUCACGGUCUGACUGGAGUCGAGUUUCACAGAGCAACGCAACAGGAGGAUGACACAACAGUUAUAAGAGCAUUAACAGUAAGGACUAACAUUAACUGACUGUCUGUCCUCAACCAAAGUCAUUCAAGACCUGUAAAAGCACAAACGUUUCCCGCGCAAGUUUGAAUCUCUCUCAGUCAGGGGAGAUUGACUGACUGACUGACUGACUGACUGUCUACACGCCACCAAACAGUAAUUUAUACAGAAACCUUUUAAAGUUUAGCACAAAAGUUUCCAGCACAAGUUUGGAUCUUUACCAUUGAGGGUGGCUGACUGUUCUCGACCAACCAUCAUUUACACGCAAAAACUUUAAAGAUAAGUAUGAACGUGCCCAGAGCAGUUUUCGAUCUUUACCAUUAAGGAGGCUGACUGACUAUCCUCUACCACCCGUCAUUAACACAACAAAAACUAAAGAAAUGUUACUCCAUAUGGACCUAUUCAUUUACUCAUUAUGCUGUGAGUACACCACAGUUUUAUCAGUGAAAAAAUUUAUAUUUGUGUGUUUUCUCACUGCUUGGCAAGGACAGAUGUGGCCCUGUUAAAAAUGUUUAAAUGUUGUUUGGUUAAGGAACAGCACACUGAUUUUGUUUUAAAAUAUUCCUGUUUGGACAGUCUGUUAAAGUCAAAGGAAUACUUGAUAUAUUUCUAAGUAAAGUGUAAAUGAAAAAAUUAGUUUUUAAUGUUGUGACUGAACACAAUGUUGUGAAUGAUUUGGACUGAACAGCACACUUCUGUUUUAUAUCUGAACCUUUUGUAAAAUAAAUGAUUGUUCAUUAAACUCACUGUGUAUUUUAUCUUUUCUGUUAUCAUUU